AGAGUUUGAUCCUGGCUCAGGACGAACGCUGGCGGCGUGCCUAAUACAUGCAAGUCGAGCGGACCGGAUUGGGGCUUGCCUUGAUUCGGUCAGCGGCGGACGGGUGAGUAACACGUGGGCAACCUGCCCGCAAGACCGGGAUAACUCCGGGAAACCGGAGCUAAUACCGGAUAACACCGAAGACCGCAUGGUCUUCGGUUGAAAGGCGGCCUUUGGGCUGUCACUUGCGGAUGGGCCCGCGGCGCAUUAGCUAGUUGGUGAGGUAACGGCUCACCAAGGCGACGAUGCGUAGCCGGCCUGAGAGGGUGACCGGCCACACUGGGACUGAGACACGGCCCAGACUCCUACGGGAGGCAGCAGUAGGGAAUCUUCCGCAAUGGGCGAAAGCCUGACGGAGCGACGCCGCGUGAGCGAAGAAGGCCUUCGGGUCGUAAAGCUCUGUUGUGAGGGACGAAGGAGCGCUGUUCGAAGAGGGCGGCGCGGUGACGGUACCUCACGAGAAAGCCCCGGCUAACUACGUGCCAGCAGCCGCGGU
rnacentral:rRNA from 1 species